CCCUUCGAUGUUCUGGGCCGCACGCGCGCUACACUGAUGCAUUCAACGAGCCUAUCCUUGACCGACAGGUCCGGGUAAUCUUUGAAUCUGCAUCGUGACGGGGAUAGAUUAUUGCAAUUAUUAAUCUUCAACGAGGAAUGCCUAGUAGGCGCAAGUCAUCAGCUUGCGUCGAUUACGUCCCUGCCCUUUGUACACACCGCCCGUCGCUCCUACCGAUUGGGUGUGCUGGUGAAAUGUUCGGAUCGGCCGUUUGUCGCGGUUUCCGCGUCAUGUGGCUGAGAAGUUCAUUAAACCCUCCCACCUAGAGGAAGGAGAAGUCGUAACA
rnacentral:rRNA from 1 species